GGUUAAGCGACUAAGCGUACACGGUGGAUGCCCUGGCAGUCAGAGGCGAUGAAGGACGUGCUAAUCUGCGAAAAGCGUCGGUAAGGUGAUAUGAACCGUUAUAACCGGCGAUGUCCGAAUGGGGAAACCCAGUGCAAUUCGUUGCACUAUCGUUAACUGAAUACAUAGGUUAACGAGGCGAACCGGGGGAACUGAAACAUCUAAGUACCCCGAGGAAAAGAAAUCAACCGAGAUUCCCCCAGUAGCGGCGAGCGAACGGGGAGCAGCCCAGAGUCUGAAUCAGCUUGUGUGUUAGUGGAACGGUCUGGAAAGUCCGACGGUACAGGGUGAUAGUCCCGUACACCAAAAUGCACAGGCUGUGAACUCGAAGAGUAGGGCGGGACACGUGGUAUCCUGUCUGAAUAUGGGGGGACCAUCCUCCAAGGCUAAAUACUCCUGACUGACCGAUAGUGAACCAGUACCGUGAGGGAAAGGCGAAAAGAACCCCGGCGAGGGGAGUGAAAAAGAACCUGAAACCGUGUACGUACAAGCAGUGGGAGCACCUUCGGGUGUGACUGCGUACCUUUUGUAUAAUGGGUCAGCGACUUAUAUUCUGUAGCAAGGUUAACCGUAUAGGGGAGCCGCAGGGAAACCGAGUCUUAACUGGGCGUUAAGUUGCAGGGUAUAGACCCGAAACCCGGUGAUCUAGCCAUGGGCAGGUUGAAGGUUGGGUAACACUAACUGGAGGACCGAACCGACUAAUGUUGAAAAAUUAGCGGAUGACUUGUGGCUGGGGGUGAAAGGCCAAUCAAACCGGGAGAUAGCUGGUUCUCCCCGAAAGCUAUUUAGGUAGCGCCUCGUGAACUCAUCUUCGGGGGUAGAGCACUGUUUCGGCUAGGGGGUCAUCCCGACUUACCAACCCGAUGCAAACUACGAAUACCGAAGAAUGUUAUCACGGGAGACACACGGCGGGUGCUAACGUCCGUCGUGAAGAGGGAAACAACCCAGACCGCCAGCUAAGGUCCCAAAGUCAUGGUUAAGUGGGAAACGAUGUGGGAAGGCACAGACAGCCAGGAUGUUGGCUUAGAAGCAGCCAUCAUUUAAAGAAAGCGUAAUAGCUCACUGGUCGAGUCGGCCUGCGCGGAAGAUGUAACGGGGCUAAACCAUGCACCGAAGCUGCGGCAGCGACACUAUGUGUUGUUGGGUAGGGGAGCGUUCUGUAAGCCUGCGAAGGUGACCUGUGAGGGUUGCUGGAGGUAUCAGAAGUGCGAAUGCUGACAUAAGUAACGAUAAAGCGGGUGAAAAGCCCGCUCGCCGGAAGACCAAGGGUUCCUGUCCAACGUUAAUCGGGGCAGGGUGAGUCGACCCCUAAGGCGAGGCCGAAAGGCGUAGUCGAUGGGAAACAGGUUAAUAUUCCUGUACUUGGUGUUACUGCGAAGGGGGGACGGAGAAGGCUAUGUUAGCCGGGCGACGGUUGUCCCGGUUUAAGCAUGUAGGCUGGUUAUCCAGGCAAAUCCGGAUAAUCAAGGCUGAGGUGUGAUGACGAGGCACUACGGUGCUGAAGUAACAAAUGCCCUGCUUCCAGGAAAAGCCUCUAAGCAUCAGGUAACAUCAAAUCGUACCCCAAACCGACACAGGUGGUCAGGUAGAGAAUACCAAGGCGCUUGAGAGAACUCGGGUGAAGGAACUAGGCAAAAUGGUGCCGUAACUUCGGGAGAAGGCACGCUGGUGUGUAGGUGAAGUCCCUGCGGAUGGAGCUGAGACCAGUCGAAGAUACCAGCUGGCUGCAACUGUUUAUUAAAAACACAGCACUGUGCAAACACGAAAGUGGACGUAUACGGUGUGACGCCUGCCCGGUGCCGGAAGGUUAAUUGAUGGGGUUAUCCGUAAGGAGAAGCUCUUGAUCGAAGCCCCGGUAAACGGCGGCCGUAACUAUAACGGUCCUAAGGUAGCGAAAUUCCUUGUCGGGUAAGUUCCGACCUGCACGAAUGGCGUAAUGAUGGCCAGGCUGUCUCCACCCGAGACUCAGUGAAAUUGAACUCGCUGUGAAGAUGCAGUGUACCCGCGGCAAGACGGAAAGACCCCGUGAACCUUUACUAUAGCUUGACACUGAACAUUGAGCCUUGAUGUGUAGGAUAGGUGGGAGGCUUUGAAGCGUGGACGCCAGUCUGCGUGGAGCCAACCUUGAAAUACCACCCUUUAAUGUUUGAUGUUCUAACGUUGGCCCCUUAUCGGGGUUGCGGACAGUGUCUGGUGGGUAGUUUGACUGGGGCGGUCUCCUCCCAAAGCGUAACGGAGGAGCACGAAGGUUAGCUAAUCCUGGUCGGACAUCAGGAGGUUAGUGCAAUGGCAUAAGCUAGCUUGACUGCGAGCGUGACGGCGCGAGCAGGUGCGAAAGCAGGUCAUAGUGAUCCGGUGGUUCUGAAUGGAAGGGCCAUCGCUCAACGGAUAAAAGGUACUCCGGGGAUAACAGGCUGAUACCGCCCAAGAGUUCAUAUCGACGGCGGUGUUUGGCACCUCGAUGUCGGCUCAUCACAUCCUGGGGCUGAAGUAGGUCCCAAGGGUAUGGCUGUUCGCCAUUUAAAGUGGUACGCGAGCUGGGUUUAGAACGUCGUGAGACAGUUCGGUCCCUAUCUGCCGUGGGCGCUGGAGAAUUGAGGGGGGCUGCUCCUAGUACGAGAGGACCGGAGUGGACGCAUCACUGGUGUUCGGGUUGUCAUGCCAAUGGCACUGCCCGGUAGCUAAAUGCGGAAGAGAUAAGUGCUGAAAGCAUCUAAGCACGAAACUUGCCCCGAGAUGAGUUCUCCCUGAGACUAUAAGUCUCCUGAAGGAACGUUGAAGACGACGACGUUGAUAGGCCGGGUGUGUAAGCGCAGCGAUGCGUUGAGCUAACCGGUACUAAUGAACCGUGAGGCUUAACCUU
rnacentral:rRNA from 1 species